GGCAACUCAUUAUCAAAACGGUAC
rnacentral:siRNA from 1 species